GUAACGGCGAGUGAAGCGGCAACAGCUCAAAUUUGAAAUCUGGCCGCAAGGUCCGAGUUGUAAUUUGCAGAGGAUGCUUUUGGCGAGGUGCCUUCCGAGUUCCCUGGAACGGGACGCCAUAGAGGGUGAGAGCCCCGUACGGUAGGACCACCGAGCCUUUGUAAAGCUCCUUCGACGAGUCGAGUAGUUUGGGAAUGCUGCUCUAAAUGGGAGGUGUACGUCUUCUAAAGCUAAAUACCGGCCAGAGACCGAUAGCGCACAAGUAGAGUGAUCGAAAGAUGAAAAGCACUUUGAAAAGAGGGUUAAAAAGUACGUGAAAUUGUUGAAAGGGAAGCAUUCAUGACCAGACUUGGGCUUGGUUGAACAUCCGGCGUUCUCGCCGGUGCACUCUGCCAGUCCAGGCCAGCAUCAGUUUGCCCCGGGGGACAAAGGCGGUGGGAAUGUGGCUCUCUCCGGGGAGUGUUAUAGCCCGCCGUGUAAUGCCCUGGGGCGGACUGAGGAACGCGCUUCGGCUCGGAUGCUGGCGUAAUGGUCAUCAAUGACCCGUCUUGAAACACGGACCAAGGAGUCGUCUUCGUAUGCGAGUGUUCGGGUGUCAAACCCCUACGCGAAAUGAAAGUGAACGUAGGUGAGAGCUUCGGCGCAUCACCGACCGAUCCUGAUGUUCUCGGA
rnacentral:rRNA from 1 species